UUCCCAGUUAAUCUCAUUGUCUCCUUGCUGCCUUUAAGCCUUUCCUGAUGUCUCCCACUGCCUCUCAAAACUCAACUUAGUCUUUGAAUAAUUUAAAACAAACUCCAAUCACAAAUGCUGAGGAGAAUAAGAACACAGCACAAGGUGAUUGACAUGGGGUUCAGUUAAGAGCAAAACUAGCCUGGAUGGGAAUGUGUCUUCGUCUCAUAAUAAACUGCUUAACCAUU
rnacentral:lncRNA from 1 species